rnacentral:tRNA from 1 species
GGUAAGAUGGCUGAGUGUUUAAGCGGCAGAUUGUAGCUCUGUAAAUGAAGGUUAAAUUCCUCCUCUUAUCA